GCCUACGGGGGGCAGCAGUGGGGAAUAUUGGACAAUGGGGGGAACCCUGAUCCAGCCAUGCCGCGUGUGUGAAGAAGGCCCUCGGGUUGUAAAGCACUUUCAGUGAGGAAGAACGCCUGGUGGUUAAUACCCAUCAGGAAAGACAUCACUCACAGAAGAAGCACCGGCUAACUCCGUGCCAGCAGCCGCGGUAAUACGGAGGGUGCGAGCGUUAAUCGGAAUUACUGGGCGUAAAGCGCGCGUAGGUGGCUUGAUAAGCCGGUUGUGAAAGCCCCGGGCUCAACCUGGGAACGGCAUCCGGAACUGUCAAGCUAGAGUGCAGGAGAGGAAGGUAGAAUUCCCGGUGUAGCGGUGAAAUGCGUAGAGAUCGGGAGGAAUACCAGUGGCGAAGGCGGCCUUCUGGACUGACACUGACACUGAGGUGCGAAAGCGUGGGUAGCAAACAGGAUUAGAUACCCUAGUAGUC
rnacentral:rRNA from 1 species